rnacentral:rRNA from 1 species
UACGUAGGGUGCAAGCGUAAUCGGAAUUACUGGGCGUAAAGCGUGCGCAGGCGGUGAUGUAAGACAGAUGUGAAAUCCCCGGGCUUAACCUGGGAACUGCAUUGGUGACUGGCAGGCUUUGAGUGUGGCAGAGGGAGGUAGAAUUCCACGUGUAGCAGUGAAAUGCGUAGAGAUGUGGAGGAAUACCGAUGGCGAAGGGCAGCCUCCUGGGCCAAACACUGACGCUCAUGCACGAAAGCGUGGGGAGCAACAGGAU